rnacentral:rRNA from 1 species
UACGGAGGAUCCGAGCGUUAUCCGGAUUUAUUGGGUUUAAAGGGUGCGUAGGCAGCCUUUUAAGUCAGCGGUGAAAGUCUGUGGCUCAACCAUAGAAUUGCCGUUGAAACUGGGGGGCUUGAGUAUGUUUGAGGCAGGCGGAAUGCGUGGUGUAGCGGUGAAAUGCUUAGAUAUCACGCAGAACCCCGAUUGCGAAGGCAGCCUGCCAAGCCAUGACUGACGCUGAUGCACGAAAGCGUGGGGAUCAAACAGG